UUUGCAUGUGGAACUAUUCGGACAUUUUUGUGUCUUAAGCAAGUUGAAAAUUACAAUUUCUAAAGAAAUUUGAAAUUUAAGGGGAGGCAUUUGAAGAAUAUGUUUGUAGAAAUAGUUUUUAAUUUAAGAUGCAUGACACUUUCUCUUUCAUAUUUAGCGAAUGCCUUUGCUUCUGUUCUUUGCUAAAUUUAUUUUUUGAAGCUAAAACUCUUUCUGGAAAAUUGUGAAUACCUGUCUCCAGUAAUUUUAUCAGAUCAGGGCAUUGUUUUGAAUCAUUGGUCCUUUGGUACAGCAUGAUACUUGAGCAUGUUGAUUAUUCACGCUUUUAAUUAUUGUCCUGUUUUCUUAAAGAUGAAUCUUAAAGCACACAAACAGACAUAAAGACAAAAGGAAAAGGAAACUUAACAAAUCACCCCGUACUUUGAUUAGAAUUGAGUUUUGCCAGCAGGGACAGAGAAUUGGGCUGCUGUUGUACAGCUCAGGAAAACCGUCGUCUAAAACCUCGUGUCACAGGAAGUAUUAAUUGUUUUAAUGUUAACCUUUCUGAAGCAGCAUUUGAAGAGACUAGUCAGUGAUGAGCAUUUGUAAAUGAUAAAGCAGACAGACUGAGAGGUAAAUUCAGUAUGCUUAAAAACAGAAGCUUACAGAUUGAAAUGUCGUAAGAGUCAACUGCUUUCUUUCAGAAAUGUUCAAGGAAUUCAUUUUGUCUGUAUGCUAGCAAAUGGUAUUUGUUACGUGCUUUUUUUAGGGAAAAUGAUUUAUAAGUCGUUCAGGAAUCUUUAUAAAUUAUGAAAUUGCAGACAAUUUUGUGGCAAAAUAAAAAAGCAUGAAAGUAUCUCAACACAUGAGUGUUGAGAAUGAGCAGAAUAUGAGCAUCAAGGAAUUUGAAGUAUGCUGGAGAUUUAAAAUUCACCAAGAGAUCAGUAGAAGAAUUUGCCUAGGACUCUUGAGUAGUAAUAGUGUUGCUGUUAAGAGACUUGGGAUUUCCUGUCACCUUUUCU
rnacentral:lncRNA from 1 species